AUGAAAUAUAUAAAAAAUACAGAGAAAACGGAAAGAGAAAGAAAUUCUUUCAUUAUGGAGAUUAAUUUAGUGAUGAUUAAAAAUAUCUCAAUUUGCCGGGAUUCCACGUCUCAAGAUCACAGUUGUUUCUACAGUGCUCUAGACGAAAGCUGGUUCGCAAUGACGUCACGCAUAAACAAACAUGGCCGAUGUAGCUGCGCGUUGGCAUACCGUGUUGUUUCUACCGUGGUAGCAUGAGUAUGAUGCCAAUUUGACAAAUGAAAACAUUUUUCAUGAAAACAAUACACCAGACGCUAUUCGCAAAAAUUUAAUGAAAACUUAACUGUUUCCAUUACAGACUCUCAGAAUCCGACAGGAAUUAUUUUACAAUUGAAUAGUUGUUUUUCCUCUAUAUAAAUAUCGAAAAUUAUACUGUAGUAUGGCUAUCAAAACAUUUAACUUUUCAUCAAUUUCAG
rnacentral:lncRNA from 1 species